UAAGUGUUAGAGAAUGGGACGUUGUCUCUAAACGAAAGGAUUUAAUCCUG
rnacentral:ncRNA from 1 species